rfam:Salmo salar isolate Sally breed double haploid chromosome ssa01, whole genome shotgun sequence.
UGUAUUCACUACUGUAAGUCGCUCUGGAUAAGAGUGUCUGCUAAAUUACUGAAA